CCAGGAAUCCCUGGACACAGGGGGUAGGAGCUAAUCUUUUACUAGAGGGAAAGCUGGGGAAAAGCAUAGAGCAUGCGUGCUCAGCUCUUGCCCUCGUCCCAUCCGCGAAGCGGAGGCGGGAUAAAAGCCUAACUCCCCGGUGUCAUAGGUUACCCUUCUAUCUUCCUCCCCCGUGACGCUCCCAAAGCGAUCGCUAUCCUUUUC
rnacentral:lncRNA from 1 species